GGCCAGGUAGCUUAAUGGUAAAGCGUUGGUCGUCUGGCGCGACAGAAGCAUCCCCGACGGGGGAUUCGCUGAGGGGUUUACAAGCCCAGGCUACUCGGAUCUGAGAAUGCCUAUCGCGGACCACCAAAGAUUGCAAGUUCGAGACUUGUCCUGGCUA
rnacentral:tRNA from 1 species